UACGUAGGGUGCAAGCGUUAAUCGGAAUUACUGGGCGUAAAGCGUGCGCAGGCGGUUAUAUAAGACAGUUGUGAAAUCCCCGGGCUCAACCUGGGAACUGCAUCUGUGACUGUAUAGCUAGAGUACGGUAGAGGGGGAUGGAAUUCCGCGUGUAGCAGUGAAAUGCGUAGAUAUCUGGAGGAACACCGGUGGCGAAGGCGGCAUCCUGGACCGGCAUUGACGCUGAGGCGCGAAAGCCAGGGGAGCAAACGGG
rnacentral:rRNA from 1 species